AAUCAAAGUAAGUAAGAUGGUUCUGUUUUUGUUUUUUUGACUUGUGAUACUUACUAGAUCAUGUAUGUAUUGAAAUGUGGUCUGCAAGAAACAAAGUGAAUCAAUCUCAUUACAUCAGGAAACAACAAAUUAGGAAGGAAGAGGAAAAGAUGCUUUUAGUUUGACUAGAUUGAAUGGUCCUGCGGAAUAUAAAUUUGAUUAUUAUUAUUAGAUAUUACGCACUUGUAUUUUUGUAAUAGUUGCGGAUUAACUCUUUUUUUUUGUCAUUUCGUUAAGUGCUUUCUAAUAAAAUUCAAUAACCUAAUCAGAAGCCAGACCGAUACUUAAACCAAACAAAUAUUAAAUUGUGGCAUACAUACUAAAUAGGAUAAUCAACUCCACCCGUCCUCGUUUCUACUAAAUCUAAAGGUUGUUGCAAAUAGAAGUAAUUCUUGGCUGGAAG
rnacentral:lncRNA from 1 species